GACGAACGCUGGCGGCGUGCUUUACACAUGCAAGUUGAACGGUGAAGGUGGAGCUUGCUCCGCCGGAUCAGUGGCGAACGGGUGAGUAACACGUGGGCAACCUGCCCCUAACUUUGGGAUAACUACUCGAAAGAGUAGCUAAUACCGGAUACGAAGUCUGUAGGCAUCUACGGAUUUGGAAAGUUUUUCGGUUAGGGAUGGGCCCGCGGCCUAUCAGCUUGUUGGUGAGGUAGUGGCUCACCAAGGCGACGACGGGUAGCCGGCCUGAGAGGGCGACCGGCCACACUGGGACUGAGACACGGCCCAGACUCCUACGGGAGGCAGCAGUGGGGAAUAUUGCGCAAUGGGCGAAAGCCUGACGCAGCAACGCUGCGUGCGGGAUGAAGGCCUUCGGGUUGUAAACCGCUUUCAGCAGGGAAGAAGCGAAAGUGACGGUACCUGCAGAAGAAGCACCGGCUAACUACGUGCCAGCAGCCGCCGUAA
rnacentral:rRNA from 1 species